AUUGAACGCUGGCGGCAUGCCUUACACAUGCAAGUCGAACGGCAGCACGGGUGCUUGCACCUGGUGGCGAGUGGCGAACGGGUGAGUAAUACAUCGGAACAUGUCCUGUAGCGGGGGAUAGCCCGGCGAAAGCCGGAUUAAUACCGCAUACGAUCUACGGAUGAAAGCGGGGGACCUUCGGGCCUCGCGCUAUAGGGUUGGCCGAUGGCUGAUUAGCUAGUUGGUGGGGUAAAGGCCUACCAAGGCGACGAUCAGUAGCUGGUCUGAGAGGACGACCAGCCACACUGGGACUGGGACACGGCCAAGACUACUACGGGAGGCAGCAGUGGGGAAUUUUGGACAAUGGGCGAAAGCCUGAUCCAGCAAUGCCGCGUGUGCGAAGAAGGCCUUCGGGUUGUAAAGCACUUUUGUCCGGAAAGAAAUCCUUGGCCCUAAUACGGUCGGGGGAUGACGGUACCGGAAGAAUAAGCACCGGCUAACUACGUG
rnacentral:rRNA from 1 species